AGUGAACGCUGGCGGUAGGCCUAACACAUGCAAGUCGAACGGCAGCACGGUAAGAGCUUGCUCUUACGGGUGGCGAGUGGCGGACGGGUGAGGAAUACAUCGGAAUCUACUUUUUCGUGGGGGAUAACGUAGGGAAACUUACGCUAAUACCGCAUACGACCUACGGGUGAAAGCAGGGGAUCUUCGGACCUUGCGCGAUUGAAUGAGCCGAUGUCGGAUUAGCUAGUUGGCGGGGUAAAGGCCCACCAAGGCGACGAUCCGUAGCUGGUCUGAGAGGAUGAUCAGCCACACUGGAACUGAGACACGGUCCAGACUCCUACGGGAGGCAGCAGUGGGGAAUAUUGGACAAUGGGCGCAAGCCUGAUCCAGCCAUACCGCGUGGGUGAAGAAGGCCUUCGGGUUGUAAAGCCCUUUUGUUGAGAAAGAAAAGCAGCAGGUUAAUACCCCGCUGUUCUGACGGUACCCAAAGAAUAAGCACCGGCUAACUUCGUG
rnacentral:rRNA from 1 species